UCACCCGCCGAGGCUUGGGGCCCCGAAGAUGGACGGGUCUAAAGCCAGCCUCCGAUACCCCAGGGGUGCAUCUGAGGAUGCAUUCUAGUAGGAGGGCGUCCCGAUUGGGUCGAAGCAGGGCCGAGAGGUCCUGUGGACCGGUCGGGAUUGCAGAUCCCGGCGGUAGUAGCAGCAGAGUCGGGUGAGAAUCCCGAUCGCCGAAAGGGCAAGGGUUUCCAGGCAAUGCGUCGUCAGCCUGGAGUUAGUCGGUCCUAAGUCCAGCGUUAACAUGACUGGUCGAAAGGGGAACUGGUUAACAUUCCAGUACUACGGAGGUACACGUGGCAACACAGAGCUUCACACGUGACGCUUCGGGGUAGGUCGAGCAGGGUUGUCGCCCUGUUUAACUGUCCAAGUCCGGGGAGUACCGUAAUGGUGAGAACCGGACGAAACCAGGAAUAGCCCCCCGUUUAGGGGGGUUCGAUCGAUCUCUGGAGCCCAUGAAAAGCGUGUGAGGAUGGAUCCUCCGUAUCCGUACCCAGAACCAACACAGGUGCCCAGGGUGAGUAGCCCAAGGCGUGUCGGGGACACUCUAGGCGAGGGAAUUCGGCAAAUUGGCCCCGUAUCUUUGGUAUAAGGGGUGCCUACUGUCUUCGCGUGAGCGGGGAUGGUAGGUCGCAGUGACAAGGGGGUUCCGGCUGUUUACUAAAAACAUAGGUAGCCGCUAGGGCGAAAGCCUUUGUACGGCUAUUGAAUCCUGUCCAGUGGUGGUACCUGAAGCC
rnacentral:rRNA from 1 species